rnacentral:rRNA from 1 species
CUCGUAGGCGGUUCGUCGCGUCCGGUGUGAAGGUCCAUCGCUUAACGGUGGAUCCGCGCCGGGUACGGGCGGGCUUGAGUGCGGUAGGGGAGACUGGAAUUCCCGGUGUAACGGUGGAAUGUGUAGAUAUCGGGAAGAACACCAAUGGCGAAGGCAGGUCUCUGGGCCGUCACUGACGCUGAGGAGCGAAAGCGUGGGGAGCGAACA